rnacentral:rRNA from 1 species
UAGGGAAUCUUCGGCAAUGGACGGAAGUCUGACCGAGCAACGCCGCGCGAGUGAAGAAGGUUCUCGGAUCGUAAAGCUCUGUUGUUAGAGAAGAACGUUGGUAGGAGUGGAAAAUCUACCAAGUGACGGUAACUAACCAGAAAGGGACGGCUAACUACGUGCCAGCAGCCGCGGUAAUACGUAGGUCCCGAGCGUUGUCCGGAUUUAUUGGGCGUAAAGCGAGCGCAGGCGGUUCUUUAAGUCUGAAGUUAAAGGCAGUGGCUUAACCAUUGUACGCUUUGGAAACUGGAGGACUUGAGUGCAGAAGGGGAGAGUGGAAUUCCAUGUGUAGCGGUGAAGUGCGUAGAUAUAUGGAGGAACACCGGUGGCGAAAGCGGCUCUCUGGUCUGUAACUGACGCUGAGGCUCGAAAGCGUGGGGAGCAAACAGG